UACGUAGGACGCGAGCGUUAUCCGGAUUCACUGGGCGUAAAGCGCCUGCAGGCGGUUUCGUAAGUUGGGGGUGAAAGCCCCAGGCUUAACCUGGGGAGGCCAUUCAAUACUGCGGAGCUUGAGGACGGGAGAGGGAAGCGGAAUUCCCGGUGUAGCGGUAAAAUGCGCAGAUAUCGGGAGGAACACCAGUGGCGAAGGCGGCUUCCUGGCCCGUUCCUGACGCUCGGAGGCGAAAGCUAGGGGAGCAAACAGG
rnacentral:rRNA from 1 species